GAUCAUGGCUCAGGAUUAACGCUGGCGGCGUGCCUAAUACAUGCAAGUCGAAUGGUAGUAGCAAUACAAACCAUGGCGAACGGGUGAGUAACACGUAGGUAACCUGUCUUUAAGACGAGGAUAACCGUUGGAAACGACGGAUAAUACUGGAUAGGACAUCACAAAGGGCAUCCUUAGAUGUUUAAAGAUUAUUAUGUCACUUAGAGAGGGGCCUGCGGCGCAUUAGCUAGUUGGUGAGGUAAGAGCCCACCAAGGCGAUGAUGCGUAGCCGGACUGAGAGGUUGAACGGCCACAAUGGAACUGAGAACGGUCCAUACUCCUACGGGAGGCAGCAGUAGGGAAUUUUCGGCAAUGGGCGCAAGCCUGAACCCGAGCAACGCCGCGUGAACGAAGAAGUUAUUCGUAAUGUAAAGUUCUUUUAUCUGGGAAGAAAAAACAAAUUGACGGUACCAGAUGAAUAAGCUCCGGCUAACUACGUGCCAGCAGCCGC
rnacentral:rRNA from 1 species